AUUCUAGAUGGUGGCGUUUAGGGAAAAAAAAAUUAAGUUACUGUACUGAAGUAAAGCCUAUGAGUGGCCCAAAGAAAGCCUGAGAUUUGUACCUUUUAAAUAAGGUAUGGGCACUGCUUUAAAAGAAAGCAGGUUAAUUUCUAGCAAAGCAGUGCAUGCAGGCUUGGAAGAGCUGAUCCUUUUUCUCUAGAAGUUUACUCGAUUUUAGAACUACACAUGAUGGUCAGGAUUUGGGCAAUAAGGCAGCCUAAAGUAACAGGACAGAGAAGAAUUGUCUGGAACUGUGGUAACAUCGAAAGUAAAAGUCAAUCUCAUAGCCUACUGGACAGAAAUCUUAAUGAAUUACUUGUAAGUCUGAAGGAAAAAUGUAAUCUAUUUUGAUUGUAAUUGUGAGGAAAAAUGUGGAGACCUCCACUGCAAGUAAUGUACUUUCUCCUUUACCCUGAUUUAGCAGUGAAGGUAGUUCAGAAAGGAAAACACUAGCACUAUGACUCAUUCUCAUAAAAUUUCAAAUUCAUAUCUCAUUGUCCUUUGAGCAAACAUCUUUAACUGCUUUGCUGUUGUAGAAAACUGAGAAAACUGUUGCAUGAUUGAUAACUCUGCUUUUAAAAGUCC